rnacentral:snRNA from 1 species
CUCACUUCUUGGCCUUUUGGAUAAGAUCAAGUGUAGAAUCUGUUCUUAUCAGUUAAUAUCUGAAAUAUUCUCUAUCCAAGGACAAUCUAUUAGAUGGAUUUUUGGAGCAGGGAGAUGGAAUAGGAGCUUGCUCUAUCCACUCCAUGCAUCAACCUGGUAUUGCAGUACCACCAGGACUGGUACACCCUUU